GACGAACGCUGGCGGCGCGCUUAACACAUGCAAGUCGAACGGAAAGGCCUGCUUUCCCUUGUGGAUUGCGGGUACUCGAGUGGCGAACGGGUGAGUAACACGUGAGUGAUCUGCCCCCAACUUGGGUAUAAGCCUGGGAAACUGGGUCUAAUUCCCGAUAGGACUGCAGGGUGGUGCCUGUGGUGGAAAACGAUUUUCUAGUGGUUGGGGAUGAGCUCGCGGCCUAUCAGCUUGUUGGUGGGGUAAUGGCCUACCAAGGCGGCGACGGGUAGCCGGCCUGGGAGGGUGGACGGCGACAGUGGGACUGAGAUACGGCCCAGACUCCUACGGGGGGCAGCAGUGGGGAAUAUGGCACAAUGGGCGGAAGCCUGAUGCAGCGACGCCGCGGGGGGGAUGACGGCCUUCGGGUUGUAAACUCCUUUCGACCGCGAGGAAGCCACCUGGUUGGAAGGGUGGUGACGGUAGUGGUAGAAGAAGCACCGGCUAACUACGUG
rnacentral:rRNA from 1 species